CCAGCAGGUGGCUCUGUAAGUCAGUUGUCAAAGACCCGUGCUCAACGCGGAGGAGGCGACUGAUACUGCGGAGCUCGAGUAGGGGAAGGGAUGAUGGAAUACCCGGUGUAGGGGUAAAAUCUGUAGAUAUCGGGUAGAACACCGAUGGCGAAAGCGAUCAUCUGGCCUCAUACUGACACUCAAUGGCGAAAGCCAGGGGAGCAAACGGGAUUAGAUACCCCGGUAGUCCUGGCCAUAAACGAUGCAUGCUAGGUAUCGGUGCCGGACGGCGCAGGUACCGGAGCUAACGCGAUAAGCAUGCCGCCUGGGGAGUAUGCUCGCAAGAGUGAA
rnacentral:rRNA from 1 species